CCUACGGGUGGCAGCAGUGGGGAAUAUUGGGCAAUGGGCGCAAGCCUGAACCAGCAACGCCGCGUGAGGGAAGAAGGCUCUCGGGUUGUAAACUUCUUUUCUCAGGGACGAAGCAAGUGACGGUACCUGAGGAAUAAGCCACGGCUGACUACGUGCCAGCAGCCGCGGUAAUACGUCGGUGGCAAGCGUUAUCCGGAUUUACUGGGUGUAAGGGGGGUGUAGGCGGGAAAGCAAGUCAGAUGUGAAAACCAUGGGCUCAACCUGUGGCCUGCCUUUGAAACUGUUUUUCUUGAGUACUGGAGAGGCAGGCGGAAUGCGUAGUGUAGCGGUGAAAUGCGUAGAUAUUAGGAGGAACACCAGUGGCGAAGGCGGCGUGCUGGACAGCAACUGACGCUGAGGCGCGAAAGCGUGGGGAGCAAACAGGAUUAGAUACCCUUGUAGUC
rnacentral:rRNA from 1 species